rnacentral:sRNA from 12 species
GUGCGUUAGCGAUUGAUACGGUAUCCUUUUUUGUGCGCGCUUAUGCGCAAAAAAGAUAUAGUGGAAAGCGCGACUCUUG